UACGAAGGGGGCUAGCGUUGCUCGGAAUCACUGGGCGUAAAGGGUGCGUAGGCGGGUAUUUAAGUCAGGGGUGAAAUCCUGGAGCUCAACUCCAGAACUGCCUUUGAUACUGAAGAUCUUGAGUCCGGGAGAGGUGAGUGGAACUGCGAGUGUAGAGGUGAAAUUCGUAGAUAUUCGCAAGAACACCAGUGGCGAAGGCGGCUCACUGGUCCGGUUCUGACGCUGAGGCGCGAAAGCGUGGGGAGCAAACAGG
rnacentral:rRNA from 1 species